CAAUCUUCUCGUUGAAAGCGUGUUGGGUCCAUGUCAGGUUCUGAUGAGUAUAUGGGACCAGAACCCAGUCCAUCAAUGGGAAACCAGAGUUGCCAACAAUCCAAACAUCCUUCAACAGACCCCUACUGGCUCUUUGGUACAGAGCAGAUUUCUCCAGUACUUGAUCGUCAUUCAUGGAGCCAGGCCAACCAAUGCACGCGUCCGUGAAGAUUCCUCUGGGAUCCACAACUCCUUGAACGGUAAUGGAAUAAGAUGUCUUCUGGUUCCUUUCAGUGUGCCUCUUGUUGAAAUAAGCAGCUACGCUGAUCUUCGGCGCAAUGAUUGGCACAUGGGUCGUAUACAUCGAUCCACCCACGUUAGGUAUUCCAGACAUGGACUUGAAUUCCUCUUUGAUCAUCUGCAACUUGUUAUCGUCGGGCC
rnacentral:lncRNA from 1 species